rnacentral:rRNA from 1 species
UGUCCCGUAAAUCGGGACUUGUAUGAAUGGCUAAACGAGGUCUUAACUGUCUCUUACAGGCAAUCGGUGAAAUUGAUCUCCCUGUGCGAAAGCAGGGAUGCACACAUAAGACGAGAAGACCCUGUGGAACUUCAAAAACAGCGACCACCCCGGCAUACAUUCCCCCCCACCUCGGGCACACUUAUCUCACGGGCCACUGGCCGCAUUUUUUCGGUUGGGGCGACCUUGGAGCAAAACAAAACCUCCAAAAAUUGGACCAUACCUCUAGACUAAGAGCGACCUCUCAACGUGCUAAUAGCAACCAGACCCAAUACAUUUGACCAAUGGACCAAGCUACCCCAGGGAUAACAGCGCAAUCUCCUCCAAGAGUCCAUAUCGACGAGGAGGUUUACGACCUCGAUGUUGGAUCAGGACAUCCUAGUGGUGCAGCCGCUACUAAGGGCUCGUUUGUUCAACGAUUAACAGU